rfam:Gossypium hirsutum cultivar TM-1 chromosome 21, whole genome shotgun sequence
UCAAGCGAUUAUACUAGCACUAAUAUACCGGAUCCCAUCAUAACUUUACAAUUAAGUAUGCUUGGACAAAAGUAAUACUAAGAUGGGUGACCUCUUAGGAAGUCCUCGUAUUACACCCC